CUUGGUGGGAUUGCUGGCGCCUCUGACGUGUGACCCCAUGCCCACAUCCCGCCAGCUGGCCGUCACCUGUCUGAGCUCCCUUCUCCGAAUCCAAGCCAAGGCGACCAAUGGAGUCAUCAAGAUGGGUGACAUCGGGAGCCUGUGUGAGGGGCUGAAUGACCGCAGCACCGUCUGUCAGCUCCAGACCUCUUCCAAAAUUGCACGGAUUGUGUACAGGGACUUCCCCUUGGAAGACACCAUAGAUUUCAUGAUGGCCAUCAAGGACGCCUUCCGGAAGGCCAAAGGAAUGCGUGUGCGUGCUGCUGGGAGGUGGAUGAUCACCUUUCUGCAGAUGUAUGGCAAGGACAUCUGUCGGGACGUGCCACUGACCAACUACAUCCUGCA
rnacentral:lncRNA from 1 species